GUACUUGCUUGGGCAGCACAUAUACUAAAAUUGGAACGAUACAGAUAUUAGCAUGGCCCCUGCACAAGAUGACACCCAAAUUUGUGAAGUGUCCCAUAUUAAA